rnacentral:misc_RNA from 1 species
ACUUCAAUUUUCUUCAUCAUCCAUUCCAGUGAAUCUCUUGUAUGACUCUUGUAUGAUCUCAUUUAGGUUACCUUUCCGAUUCCAUUCAAAUUCAAAUUUAACUUCACCAUCUACUUGCAUUUUCCUUAGCGUUGGUGUACUUGCGCGUCCUUGAGCAAAAGUCUUCAUCUUGGGGCAUUCUGUGAUAAUCACCUCUCGCAAAGAUUGGAAAAUGAACGUAUAAUAACCAAAACUGAAACUUGUAAGGCA